GUGAGUAGGCACAUGACGUGUUGGGUAUUAGGGUCAACACGUCAUGUGACAUUUAGGUGACAUUUAAUAAAUAGAAAAUAUAUUUAAUAAAAUAAACAAUAAUUCUAAGUACAUUUCAUAAAGGUCACCUAAAUGCCACUCACGUAGGCCACUAGUAUAUAAGCACCAAUUUACUCAAUAAAGGAGUUCAGUAUUCAGCAGACUUUCAUAGUAUUAUUUGCUACCCGAACGCUCCACAUUACAUGGCGACCCUGCCAGUGGAACUGCUCAGCAGUUCUGGUAUCACCACCUUCGGAAUCGUCUAAGUUGCGCCGCCCAGCCAUUCAGCCAGCCAGCCAGCCACCCAGUCAACCAGCAAGCCAGCUAGCCAGCACCACUAAGCACAGCACUAGACCGCGUCACGCAGCUACGACCCUGAACAACUAUGGAACCGAGCACAGCUUCAGCCCAGUGCGGCAAUAAGAUCACAGUAACAAUAACGGUAAACACUGAUGGACAGCCUACAAGAACAGCACAAUGGACAAGGAAGCAGCCACAUACCCGCCAUCGACCCCAACCGCCAACCCCGCCAGUACAGCGUACUCAGCAAUACCACCAAGCCAACACGUCAAGGAAGAAGAAUAAAGGGCGAGCCACACGCCACAUCCAAGCGACCAUAACCACCAAUAAUACUUCAAUAGAAGAUCAGGAUGAAGACUGGACAAAGGUACCCACAUCAAACUAAAUAAUCUUCUUUAAACAUUUUUUUUUUCUCUUUCCCUCGAAAAUUAUCAUUAAAUAUAAUCUAUGCAUCAAAUCUAUAAUAUUAAUAAUGUAUAAACUAUUCUUUAAACAUGCAGAUAUUGCAGAUACGUCUAUGAGCGAUAUUUCAAAUUCUACUAUCUAUUAAUUUAUUAAUUAUAAUUAAUUUACGAUUACUACUUGAUGACGAAAAGCAAAACAUGAAUAUAUGUUAAAAAAAAUAUAUAUUCACCAGUUGACCACAAGUAAUUAAUUUUAAAGUACAUCCGAACGAGUCCAAGUAAUUGCCGAAAUAUAAUAAAUUUAAAUAAUACCUACUUAAUAUUUAACAUAAAAAAAAAACCCAGUAAAAAAAUAUAUAUAUAUAAUUAUGUACGUAUAGAUAACAUUAAAUAUCAAAAACUUGUUAAACUAAAACAAUUAAUAACGCAAAAACAUUUUCUGAUAUCCAUCAAUAAUUUCAACCAGUGCAUCAUUCGUUAAUUAAAACAAAUAAACAAAAAUUUAAACAAACAAUACACAUAUAACGCGUCGCAUGGUUAACUCAAAAAACUUUACACAAUCAGCAACAUUAAAUAUCAAACACGGGGGUGCAUUCCAUUAUUCCCAUCUUUGCAAUUAACGUAUAUUAUAUAUUUUAAAGACCAGAAUAUAAAAAAAAACACCCGUUACUAACAAUAACACUAACAUUAACAUCAUAAUAUCAUUAUUUAGCUUCGUUAAAAACAAAACAACCCACUAACCACCAACCAACCACCAACCACCACCUCCCACCUACUAACCCACUACUACCCACCACUUACCCUAACAAACUAACCUAACAUUUCAAAACCCCACUAACCCACUAAUAGCCAACACUAACACUAACAAACUAACCUAACAUCUCAAAACAAAACCUAUUUCCCAACAUAAAGACAAAACCACUAACAAACAAACCUAACAGUAACUUUGACUAACUGACAAACACUAGAAUCUACUAUUCCACACAUUAAACAACAUCACUUAUGGUGUAUUCAAAUUAUUAUCCAAUUUAACGUUCAAAAAUUUAGCUUUCACACCAUUUGGUUUUCAGUAGGUAACAUAUUUAAUACAUUUUUGCAAAUACCCUCUUAAAAAAUUAAAAAAAAAAAACCUAAUCAAAUCAUUUCACUAUUGCAAUUUUAUUAACCAAACAAACUUUUAUUGGUAAAAUAGAAGUAUUUAACAUGUCAACAAUUUAUUCCUAAAUACAAAACACAUUAAUAUUUUAUACAUGAAAACAUUGCUUACACCGAAUAUCAUUAUUAUAUUAGGACUAAUAAUUUCAACUUAUAAUAAUUUCAAUAUAUUAUAAAAAAUUCAUAUAUUUAAAUAAUUUUAUUUUAUAUAUUUUAAUACCUUUAACGCGAUUUAUAAUCUAUUUCUUUUUAAAUUAUUAUUACUAUCCACUCAAUUUAAAAAUUUGUCAUCAUUUUUUUUUUAAAUUAACAGUAUAGCUUAUUACUAUGACAUGUCAUGGUUAUCGUCAAUCAAAAUGUAUAGCCAAUCUGAGUAAUUUUUUUUUCCUAAAGUAAAUAAAUAACAUUCUUACAUUAACUUACAUUUAUAUAUCAAUAUUAUUCAAACCACGAAUCUACUACUUAACUAAUUAAUUAUUGCAUAAAAAUAAGAAAAUACCAUCGGCCACUCACCACUCUCAUAUCCUUAUAAUAUUCAAAUAUAAAGAAUAAUACAAAAAUUAAAUUAGAUCAUUAAUAUUCACAUCUAAAUAAUUGCCAAUAACAACAAAACAUACAAAGUAACACAUAACAACACUAAAUACUAAUCUAUUUAAAAAUACGAUUAAUGGAAUGCACCAGCCUUGUGAAGGCCGCGUCACGCGUACUCGUCAUACGUCACCCAAUACGGAUGCAACACAUGCUAUGUCAUCUUAAAUUUCGAGUACAUAAAUUAAGGAAAAAAAAAGCAAUAAACAGUUCAUACAUUUGACGCAUUAUUAGAGUUUUAAACUAAAAAAUUAUUCACAACAUAUGAUAUAAAAAUUAAGGCAUCAAUUAGGUAAUACGAGUAGGUAUAAAAUAAAUAUAAUGAAAGACAAAUAAACAAAAUAAAAGGGAAGGAAAAAUCUAAACAUCACAUUGAAAGAGCUAAAUCAGAUAAGUGUUGCAACCAACAAUUAGCCUGAUCAACUAAAAGUUAUUGUGACUCUUAUAUGCUUUAAGUUUUCAAAGUGAUGAUUUCCUUUCAAAACGGGGUAGCUCGUGGAAAUAAAUAAUGUAAGCAAGGUACACCAGGAUACAACCAGGCAAUAACCCUUGAAACCUAAACAAUUCGAGCGAGCUCUCAAUUGCAGCGGUCCUUGGGCACACGGAAAGGUUUUUUGUUGUUCCGAUGUGUGAAAACAACUGUCUGGCAGUGCAUAUUACGCGUAAUAUGUAUCAGCGCGCUAUAAUAAAUAAUAAAUUUUUGUAUCCUUAAUAAAUAUGUUGUAUGUAAAAAAGGUCGGCCGACCGAGAGCGCUAUUGAAAGGCGCUGUGUACUUUUUAAAAGACAGGUGACAGGUAUCACAAAGUCAGCUUACAUUAUUUAUUAGGUCACAAUGCAGACAUUACAAAAUGGCUCAUUGGCGAUCAAUUCCUACAAUAAUAAACAAAUUUUCCACAAAUCACGAGCAAACUAAAUUCUAAAAAAAAUAAAAUAAUAAUAAAUGAAAACCCCAGGGAAAAUAAUAGACACUAUAACACAGAAAAACAUUUUUUUUUUACAAGCACUGAAUCCUUGAGACAUCAUGAUACGGUCGAGUUACCUAGCAUGAAGGUCCUUGGACACAUAGUAUGUUUAUUAAUAUAAACAUGUGUUAAAAACAGCCUGUAAAAAAUACAGUGAAACCUGGAUAAGUGAGAUCUCAAGGGACGAGCAAAUUUGUCUCACUUAAAGAGGUUUUCCACUUACCCAGGUUCCCAGUUAGCCAGGUACAGAUAAAUUUCUGUCUCAUUUACAGAGGUUUUCAUUAAUAGAGGUGAGAAUAGAGUAUAUUUCAGUUAUAGAGGUGGUUAAUAAGAUAUUUAAUAAUUAAUAUCUUUAAAACUAAAUAAGGUAAAAUAAUCCUUGUCCCUAAAUAUGUUUUAAGCCUGUUUAAACGUUUCUUUGAAUUUAUUUUGAAUGAUUCUCCAACGGAUAGAUAUAUCAAAAUUAAAUUAAAUUUGAUACGGACUUCAUUGCGUAUUAGAAAUUUAAUAAAUGAAAAUUAAUUUUUUCGUGUUACUUAUCAAAAUUUCAGCUUUCGUUUCGGUAGUUUUAGCUACUUAGAUAAAUUAACUAAAUCAAAGUUUGAAGUUGUUUAGACACAAUUAGGCAAAUGCGGAAUUUGUGGAUAGACCAAAAGUUAGUAAGAAUACGGAACUCGUUCAAUGAAGUCCAAGUUAGAGAGGUCAUAGAUUGACGUUAUCUCAGAUACAGAAGUCAAUUCCCUAUAAAAUUGUAAAAAACAAUUAGGAAAAUGUAAUCUUAUAAAUAUAGUAUCAGUAAAAGAGGUAAAAUACACUCUCCGUCUCACUUAUAGAGGUAAAUGUGACUAUAAAAUCACAACAACGAAUCCCAGUUAUAGAGGUUCGUUUUUUCUCAGUAACAGAGGUAAUUCAGUGCUAAAGUGUCGGGACCGCACCAUGAGUCCCAGCUAUAGAGGUUUCUCACUUAUCCAGGUCCCACUUAACCAGGUUUCACUGUAUAUAUAUACCUAUAUACAUACAAAUAUUAAAUAUAGCAUUAUACUCAAUAAAUAAAUAAAAUCAACUAUAAAUCAAAAUAGAAAAGAAAAUAAUUAAUUAAUACAAUAGAUGAUAUACUAAAUAUAUUUAUGAAUAAAACUAAAUUAAGACAAAUAACAUUAAUUAUAAAAAAAACGUAAUACCAACAUUAAAUAAAUACCUACAAUUGAUAAUACAGUGAUAAUAAUAAACAAAUCAAUUAAAAAAAAAACGAACUUAAUUAAAAUAAGUUAAAUUAAUGCAAAAAAAUCAUACGUGUAAAAUAUAAAUACAAUACAAAUACACUUUGUAUUGUGUCCAUAAUAUGUAUAAUAAUAAGUUAAUGACCAGUUUACUUGUCAAAGAGAAUUCUCAAAGAUACCUAACAACCUAUUUGCCAUACCUACAAUAGGUCAAUGUAUAAAAAAAAAAAACAAACAAACAUAAAAUAAAUAAAAUAAUACAAAUAAUAAAAUAAUAAAGUAUUAUAUUAUACUACAAUACGAGUUUUUCGUCAUCAAUGUAGAAAAAUCAUUUUUAACCACAUAGUCAUUAAUGUUAUUAUUACCCAAUGUAUAAAAGAGCCAUAUACUAUUAUUUAAAAUCAGUGAACAAAUAUUAGCAUUAAGUAAGAACAGAUUGUAAAAAAAAAAACCCCCCAGUCAUACAGCACUAAAAUAAAACAACACACAUAUUAAUGCAACCAUUACAUAGUCAAUGACAUAUUAUAAAAAUUAUAUAUCAAAUUCUCAAAUUAUUAUAUUUUUCGGCAUCUAAAAAUAUCAAUUUACACUAAACCGUAAUUUUAUAUAACAAAUAAGACCCAAUUUAUAAUUUUUACCCUUAUUCCCUAGAACUUAAGUAUAGAUCGCAAAAGUCCCAGGAGGACGCUAGACAUAAUUUAAUUAAGACAAAACAAGUUAAUAAACAAAAAUAUACAAAAAACAAAAAAAAUAUAUAAAAAAAAACAUUCAUGUAACUAUAACGUAGGAGACUUAAUAUUAAAAAAAAAGGAAGAUAGAGAUAACAUGGACCCAGUAUACACGGAACCCUACACAGUAGCACAACACCAAGGUCAAACAUUAAAAUUAUUAGUAUCAGGAAAAGAAAACAUUGCACACCAAAACAGAACAAAGCACUAUUACCAUUAAAACUCACCUCUUCGGCACACCAGACACGAGAAACACAUACACACACAAACACACAAGUCAAAUUCAAACGUAAUUGCAAGUUCCAUGAUCGACACAAAUCCGCGAAGUAAGCGACAGAACUGAUCUAAUAAUCUAACAAUCCACAUUUCUUAUUUUACAAAAUGCAAUUUAAAACCGAUCACAUUUAAACUUACCAAGCCGACAGAAUCCACAAAAGGAUCUCCAUCUUCCUUAUUAGAACAUAAGAAAGCAAGCAACGCAUUGUUUACAGUAUUAUAUCUAAUGUCACAUAGGAAUAAUUGUAAGACACAUACUAAAUGUCAAUACCGCACUUUUAGCUAUAAGAUAAAUAUAGUCAUGUAACCUUUUAGGAUAAUUAAUAGCAGAAUAAGCAAAAUAAUAAACAACGACACCAAGGUGUUUAUUGUAAUUAAAUAGCAAAGUAGAAAUACGUAACGGGAAGUGAAAAGCAAGUAUUGUAAUUACAUUUAGAAUAUAAAGUAGAUAAUUUUAAGAACCUAUUAAUCUGUCAUAUGUUAACCAAUUUUUUUAUUUUUUAUUUAUUAUAUGUUAAGUGAAAUAUUUCCAACAUUGUAAACCUUUAAUUGUUUAAACCGUAAUUUAUCUUUAAUCAACUUAUUAAAAUGAUCCGUUAAAUUAUUUUAUUUAACAAUAGAUACCUAAUUAAAAUCAUAUUCUAAUUAAUAUUUAAAAUAACCUUGCUUGUUUCUUUUUUUUUAAAGGUAGCUUUAGUGUCUUUAUUUGUAUGUGCAUAUACGUUUUGUUUUAGAUUGUAAGGUUGGCAUGUAUUGGAAUAUUUUGAAAUUAAUGUCUUAGAUUAAGUUAUUAUGUACACUGAAAUUACGACAAAAAUAUAUUGUAACCUAUUUUUGUCUCAAAAAAAAAACGGGGAAGGUGUACGGUGAGUAGGCACAUGACGUGUUGGGUAUUAGGGUCAACACGUCAUGUGACAUUUAGGUGACAUUUAAUAAAUAGAAAAUAUAUUUAAUAAAAUAAACAAUAAUUCUAAGUACAUUUCAUAAAGGUCACCUAAAUGCCACUCACGUAGGCCACUAGUAUAUAAGCACCAAUUUACUCAAUAAAGGAGUUCAGUAUUCAGCAGA